rnacentral:rRNA from 1 species
AAUCAACGCUGGCGGCGUGCCUCAGACAUGCAAGUCGAACGCGAAAGUCUCCUUCGGGGGACAAGUAGAGUGGCGCACGGGUGAGUAACACGUAGGUAAUCUACCGUUCGGAUGGGGAAUAACAACCGGAAACGGUUGCUAAUACCGCAUAAUGCAGGCGGCACCUAAUGGUGACAGUUGUUAAAGCGGGGGAUCGUAAGACCUCGCGUCUGAAGAGGAGCCUGCGGCGGAUUAGCAGUUGGUAAGGUAAUGGCUUACCAAGGCUACGAUCCGUAACCGGCCUGAGAGGGCGGUCGGUCACACUGACACUGGACAUACGGGUCAGACUCCUACGGGAGGCAGCAGUCGGGAAUUUUGGGCAAUGGGCGAAAGCCUGACCCAGCAACGCCGCGUGAA